GUUAGGAAUAUUGGACAAUGGGCGCAAGCCUGAUCCAGCCAUGCCGCGUGAGUGAUGAAGGCCUUCGGGUUGUAAAGCUCUUUAGUCCACGAAUAUAAUGACUGUAGUGGAAGAAUAAGCCCCGGCUAACUUCGUGCCAGCAGCCGCGGUAAUACGAAGGGGGCGAGCGUUAUUCGGAAUCACUGGGCGUAAAGCGUGCGUAGGCUGUUUUGUAAGUCAGAAGUGAAAGCCCAGGGCUUAACCCUGGAAUUGCUUUUGAAACUACAAGACUCGAAUUCGGGAGAGGAUAGCGGAAUUGUCAGUGUAGCAGUGAAAUGCGUAGAUAUUGACAGGAACACCAGUGGCGCAAGCGGCUAUCUGGACCGAUAUUGACGCUGAGGCACGAAAGCGUGGGGAGCAAACAGGAUUAGAUACCCGUGUAGUC
rnacentral:rRNA from 1 species